UACGAAGGGUGCAAGCGUUAAUCGGAAUUACUGGGCGUAAAGGGUGCGUAGGCGGUUCGUUAAGUCUGUCGUGAAAUCCCCCGGGCUCAACCUGGGAAUGGGCGAUGGAUACUGGCGAGCUAGAGUGUGUCAGAGGAUGGUGGAAUUCCCGGUGUAGCGGUGAAAUGCGUAGAGAUCGGGAGGAACAUCAGUGGCGAAGGCGGCCAUCUGGGACAACACUGACGCUGAAGCACGAAAGCGUGGGGAGCAAACAGG
rnacentral:rRNA from 1 species